rnacentral:rRNA from 1 species
UACGAAGGGGGCUAGCGUUGCUCGGAAUCACUGGGCGUAAAGCGCCCGUAGGCGGCUUUUUAAGUCAGGGGUGAAAUCCUGGAGCUCAACGCCAGAACUGCCUUUGAUACUGAGAAGCUUGAGUACGGGAGAGGUGAGUGGAACUGCGAGUGUAGAGGUGAAAUUCGUAGAUAUUCGCAAGAACACCAGUGGCGAAGGCGGCUCACUGGCCCGGUACUGACGCUGAGGUGCGAAAGCGUGGGGAGCAAACAGG